UCGGAUGGAUCACCGGCAGUGUGGGAGGAACCUAACAAGAGGCCUCAUCAGUUUCCAUGGCUUUAGUUAUCCUCCACAUUCAAAUGAUUCCCAGAUCAGCAUAUCAAGAGCCGUUCUCUCUCCUGACUACCUGCUGGACACUUCCCACUGGACAUCUUUCUACAUCAUGCUCUUGGACUUCUUUUUCCAUCAUGACCCCAGAUGGGAAGAAAAGAUGGUAAAGUGGAAUGAACCCUGGCACAGAAGCCAGAAGACCUGUGUUCAAAUCUUGAAUCUAGUAUUACUUAUGUAUGUAAUCUUGGGCAAGUAACAAACUCUCUGGCUCUCAUUUUCUGGCUUGUGAAGUGAAUGUACUGACCUACAUAGUUUCUACAUUCUCUUUCAACUGUAGCUCUAGCAUCA